AUUAUUUCCGUCAUGUUAUAUUAAUAAUUAAUAAGAUAUAUAAUUUCUUGUAUGUAGUAGGUAUGUACAUACUAACAAAGUAAGUAUGUACAUACAACUGUGUUCCGCGCUCUAAUCGAUCUUCAUCUUCUUAUCGAAUUUUCUAUCGAGAUAUCGAAAAAUUAAUUUUUUUAAAUGAAAAAUUGCAAUAGUAAUUUUUCAAUUGUUUAAUAGAUUUUUUGAUAGAUUGCGAUAUUAAAACUCGACUUAGAUUAUUAAAUGCCGAAAUUACUAUAAAAUUUAUAAUAUAAAUGUGUGAACACAAUUUCCGUAACUCUGUCAUUUUUACGAUUUCUGUUUAGCUUUUAUCACAAAAUGUGGCCGAACAUUUUAGAUUUUUAUAGUUCGAAAAUAUUAUGCACUUUUGUUUUCGUCGAAUUAUGCAUUAUAGCAUUUAUAAUGAUUCUGGUGAGAUAUAUAUAAGAUUAUAUCAUAUUUUAUCUUUAUAGAAUCGAUUUUAUUCCUAUUUAUUUCAGUAUAAUACUGAAAUAGUGGAGUUGAAAAAACGCAUUUUACCUUCAAAAAUAUUAAAAAUUCCUUUGGAAAUCAAUCACCAUUGUUAAUCUACGUAUACUAUUAAGAAGAAAUGAUGACACUAAUUGAAAA